AUUGGACGCUGGCGGCAUGCUUACACAUGCAAGUCGAACGGCAGCACGGAGCUUGCUCUGGUGGCGAGUGGCGAACGGGUGAGUAAAAUAUCGGAACGUACCCAGGAGUGGGGGAUAACGUAGCGAAAGUUACGCUAAUACCGCAUACGUCCUAAGGGAGAAAGUGGGGGCUCGCAAGACCUCAUGCUCAUGGAGCGGCCGAUAUCUGAUUAGCUAGUUGGUAGGGUAAAAGCCUACCAAGGCAACGAUCAGUAGCUGGUCUGAGAGGACGACCAGCCACACUGGAACUGAGACACGGUCCAGACUCCUACGGGAGGCAGCAGUGGGGAAUUUUGGACAAUGGGGGCAACCCUGAUCCAGCAAUGCCGCGUGAGUGAAGAAGGCCUUCGGGUUGUAAAGCUCUUUUGUCAGGGAAGAAAAAGGAUUGGCUAAUAUCUGAUCCUCAUGACGGUACCUGAAGAAUAAGCACCGGCUAACUACGUGCCAGCAGCCGCGGUAAUACGUAGGGUGCAAGCGUUAAUCGGAAUUACUGGGCGUAAAGCGUGCGCAGGCGGUUUUGUAAGACUGUCGUGAAAUCCCCGGGCUCAACCUGGGAAUGGCGAUGGUGACUGCAAGGCUAGAGUUUGGCAGAGGGGGGUAGAAUUCCACGUGUAGCAGUGAAAUGCGUAGAUAUGUGGAGGAACACCGAUGGCGAAGGCAGCCCCCUGGGUCAAAACUGACGCUCAUGCACGAAAGCGUGGGGAGCAAACAGGAUUAGAUACCCUGGUAGUCCACGCCCUAAACGAUGUCUACUAGUUGUCGGGUCUUAAUUGACUUGGUAACGCAGCUAACGCGUGAAGUAGACCGCCUGGGGAGUACGGUCGCAAGAUUAA
rnacentral:rRNA from 1 species